CCCUUAGACGUUCUGGGCCGCACGCGCGCUACACUGACCAGUGCAACAAGCAUCCGUCCUUGGCCGACAGGCCCGGGCAAUCUUUGAACGCUGGUCGUGAUGGGGAUAGACUUUUGCAAUUUUUGGUCUUCAACGAGGAAUUCCUAGUAAACGCAAGUCAUCAACUUGCAUUGAUUACGUCCCUGCCCUUUGUACACACCGCCCGUCGCACCUACCGAUUGAAUGGUCCGGUGAAGCCUCCGGAUUGGCGCGCACCUCGGUGCCGCCGAGAAGUUGGUUAAACCUUACCAUUUAGAGGAAGGUGAANUCGUANCA
rnacentral:rRNA from 1 species